AUUUCUACCACCCCCUAACUAAGCCUUUAGAUCAGACUGCAACCCCAGCCAACAAGGUAGCUACAAACUCUUGAGAAGCCUUGAGACAGAGGUACUCAAUAGAGCCAUUCCUAUGAGAAACUACCUAAUUCUUGCAAUUCAGUGUAUUUCCUGGCGAGAGGCAGAGAUGAACAACCCUGGACAGUUACCACAUAUGGCUCUUAUGAGGUAAUGAGGAUGGUUG
rnacentral:lncRNA from 1 species